GGCGCUUCACACCCACCUAGAGGAGCCUGUUCUAGAACCGAUGACCCCCGUUCAACCUCACCCUUCCUUGUUACCCCCGCCUAUAUACCGCCGUCGUCAGCUCACCCUGUGAAGGCCCCAGUGAGCAAGGCUGGCACAGCCCAAAACGUCAGGUCAAGGUGUAGCGCAUGGAGGGGGAAGAAAUGGGCUACAAUUGCUUUUACAGUUAAUACGAAUUGUAUCGCUGAAACUUGCACACAUGAAGGAGGAUUUAGAAGUAAGGGGGAAAGCAGAGCGUCCCCCUGAAAUGGUUCUGAAGCGUGCACACACCGCCCGUCACUCUCCCCAAGCUAGAACAUAAUAUAGUAUCUAAAUAAUAAAGCCUACGAAGGGGAGGCAAGUCGUAACAUGGUAAGUGUACCGGAAGGUGCGCUUGGCAAAAU
rnacentral:rRNA from 1 species